UUAUGGGCGUGGCCCUGUGAUGUCAUGGCGAUCGACGUCGCUGCGCAAUGUGAUGGUAUUGAUAUAUUAUUUCCAGGGUGGUUCCAUUUCCAGAGUGGUUGUCUCGCGGCGGGGGGUUGCUUUUCCAAUGGAGUCUGGACAGAGCUCGGCUCCCACUCUACUGACUAUGACAUGGUACCAUAAUGGAAACUUAAAUAGCGAAUUAUUGCAAGGAUCAGAGUAUAACAUGGGAACAGGAGUUACCGCUGGUGUACCUGGACCUACUAGGACAUGGGAAACCGGAACUAUCGGAAGUGUAUCAGUCUCUGCCUCUUUAUACUCAAUGGUCAGCGGUUCGUUCUCAAUUUCUGAAGUGUCUUCCGUUCUUUGACAACUUCCUCUCUCAAUAAACUGAUGAGGGCGGUGAGGAUACGGCAACACACAGGCACUCUCAAACGUUCCCAUAUGCAAUCGAUGAAAAUGCGAAUUCAGUUGUGUCAAGAUCCUAUUCAACAAAUUCCUGAAGAGGAGGAGAGCUUGCGGAAGAAUCGGGAACGCCGAUUGCCACCAAUCGGGUUCCAAGAGCAACCAAGAGAGUUACAGAGAAAUUGUCCUGCUAGUAAAGCCUUCACUAGAAUUAAAUACCUUUGUAAUCAUCAAUUUCAGCCAUCGGCCUAGAGAUUCGCCAAAGAAGAACAGUGACGCAAUUGAUACAUUUGCGGAUGUGCUCACAAGAUUGUGACACAUAUGAAUAUGUCACCAAGCUCAAGAAGCAUGUUUACUGUUACAUUGUCGGCAUCGUCGGCAUUGUUAUUGUGUAACCGCGCCAUGUCUAAGCGAUCAGCAACAGUGAACUGAAGAUAUCGGCGGUCCAAGAGGUGCAGAAGUAGAAGAAAGAAAAAA